GUCGAUUUGUGUCAUUUGCUUUCCAUCUUCUAUCCGCGUAACCCUCACUGUACAGCUUCUCAUCCUUAAAUCGCUAUCGGGAGUGUUGUAACAAGUCUCCUUCGAUUCUGGAAAGCUCGCACUUGAUCUGUUACGGGUCCAUGGAAAGGUUUCUAACGCCUUCCUUGUCAAUCGAAGCUGAAUAUGCUGUUAUCGAAUCCAGGUGAUCCAUCUUCUUCUCCAACACCGUCGGGUCUGAUUAGAACUCGUGCUCUCCGAUGAACCACGGGUCAAGACGAGUCCUGAGGCAGAGGGUCCGUUGAGAGAUUUCUCCGUCCAAGUCAGCAAGCAUCUCGGCCCUGGAGCAGCUCAAGACCUCUGCUAUUGACCGUACGUGUCUCUCUGCCUUUUGGGUUUCUUUAAAGUUUGAAUUUUUAAAAGCUAUUCGAUGUUUUGAUUCAUGUUUGACGUAAAAGCAAUUAUCUUGACCUUGCUCUCUAAUCUCUGAGCUCUGUUUAAUUGCUUAUCUAUUAUAAUAACAGAGAUCGUAUACUUCUUCAAGGUAUUAAGUUCUGCUUUAUUGAACUCUGAUUGAUUAUUACCAGGAUAAUUUAAGUUCGAAAAUAAAGCAACUUCCCUACCUGAACAUCAAUAUUUCCUGCAGACAUGGUUAAGAGAUAACAAGAUGAAGAUAUUAGUGAUCAAUCUUAAAGACUUAAGAGUGAUCAGAGUGGGACAGACGCUGCAUAUCAACCCGUCUCCACCACACAUACGAAAAAGGCGUUUGUAUUGUGUACAAUCAGAGUUUAUAGUUUAUACUGGAUUUCUAAAUCUAAUGAAUCUGAUAUCAAUGAUAACGCAAACUCAGCUUCUAUGCUACGACGACCAUGGUUACAGGAGGACGCGUCUACCAGCUUUAGCACACGAGAGGAAACUGCCUGGAAACGAACAUCCUACUAUAAUAGAGUCUAUGGUCUCCCACAUUCAUAAGGGAAGUCAGCCCGCCAAGUGAGCAUGCAGCUACGCCAAGUUAAGCAACUUGCUCGCAAUCAAGCAGGAAAGCUAGCGGAACCAUAAGCUCUCAAACUAAAACUAAUCUCGCAUUGGUCCUACCCUUUCUGGCAUGUUUCCUUUAACCAUUGUGCUCAGGUGCGGUGCAGCUAACAAUUCACAACACACCUUGAAUGGGUUGUAAUGAAGCUUCGCUUAGGACAUUUCCUAUUUUCAAAGCCUGAAAAUUUUCUACCAGCCAACUUUUUCAUUUGUUCACAGCUCAACAUGACAGCAGUAGUACAACACCGACUCUUACAUGUGUACAACAAAGCCUAGGCCCCCAUGCUGUGAUACCAACAAACGGAGCAGAGGAUAUAGCUGCAACAUCUACGCCCUACCGAGGCUUUUAGCUUCAGAUAAGAUUCAGCACUCGAAGACAUGAUCCUCCCAAGUCCCAAAUUCCACGUAUCGAGUGGAACUGUCUGUCUCAGACGAAACUGAUGAUGCUGUUUUUGUGGCUUUUGAUAUAGAGACGGCUAAACUGACGAACAUUCAAGCUGCUGAAAUUUUGGUGGAAGGAGUUUAUGCUCAGGUUGACGCUGAACUCCCUUGGUUCGUUGCUGAAAUUGUUGGGAAGACGUACACCUUCCAGCUGAAGUAAGGCGAAUUCAAUUUCCCUUCAAAACACCAAACCUUCACCGUCUCCCGUAUCUUUGCUGAGCAACAACAGUCACCUCUGCCAGGCUUUGUUAUAGAAGGGGUGCAGAGGUUCCUGAUGCUCAGCUUCCUGGAGUGAGUGCACUAGCUUCGAAUGUUCUGCUGAUGAGAACUCCAAUUUUGCGCCCCAGCCAUCCACGUCUGCUGAUCCAACUGCCGAAUGUGAACUUGCAUUAAUAAUGCAAUUUGAGAGUGGAACCAAGAACGCACGCUUGGCAUAAGUUCACGUGGAUACCUUUGACAACCACUAAAAUUUCUUAUCAAAUAAUAUGCUUUAGCAUCUUUUUCUACUUUUGUUUUGAACUCACUGUAGUGAUCAGUGUUUGAAUUAUUAAUGCAAGUUUUUGUAGGAUACAUGUUCAACAUUUUGUUAAGAUAAGUCAAGCAGUCAUGCGACCUUACGUA